UAAGUAAUGUGAAUUGCAGAAUUCAGUGAAUCAUCGAAUCUUUGAACGCACAUUGCGCCCAUUAGUAUUCUAGUGGGCAUGCCUAUUCGAGCGUCAUUUCAACCCUUAAGCCUAGUUGCUUAGUGUUGGGAAUCUGCCCUGUAUUUAUAGGGCAGUUCCUUAAAGUGAUCGGCGGAGUUAGGGCAUACUCUAAGCGUAGUAAUAUUCUUCUCGCUUCUGUAGUUGUCCUGGCGGCUUGCCGUUAAACCCCUAUAUUUCUAGUGGUUGACCUCGGAUUAGGUAGGAAUACCCGCUGAACUUAAGCAUAUCAAUAAGCGGAGGAAAAGAAACCAACAGGGAUUGCCCUAGUAACGGCGAGUGAAGCGGCAACAGCUCAAAUUUGAAAUCUGGCCCUAGCGGUCCGAGUUGUAAUUUGUAGAGGAUGCUUUUGGUUAGGUGCCUUCUGAGUUCCCUGGAACGGGACGCCAGAGAGGGUGAGAGCCCCGUACGGUUGGACACCGAGCCUCUAUAUAGCUCCUUCGACGAGUCGAGUAGUUUGGGAAUGCUGCUCUAAAUGGGAGGUAAAUUUCUUCUAAAGCUAAAUACCGGCCAGAGACCGAUAGCGCACAAGUAGAGUGAUCGAAAGAUGAAAAGUACUUUGAAAAGAGGGUUAAAUAGCACGUGAAAUUGUUGAAAGGGAAGCGUUUGCGACCAGACUUUUUCCAGGCGGAUCAUCCGGUGUUCUCACCGGUGCACUUCGCCUGGUUUAGGCCAGCAUC
rnacentral:rRNA from 1 species